GCGUCCGUGCCAGAGGGGAAUGAUGGCCUUCGCUACGAACGAAGUGAACGCAGGUUCGAAUCCUGCCGGGCGCUCCA
rnacentral:tRNA from 1 species